AGAUGCUUGGGAACUAUGAGUCGAGGGGUACCCAGUGCUAAAAGGAGAAGAGAGAACAGAAGAGAGAGGCAGUUGAAACAGAGUUCCUGGUUUCUUGAGUUUGUGCUGGCUGCCCAACAGGAGAUGAUUCCUGCAACUACUCUACUUCUGGAAGGAAAAUUAAGAUUAUCAGCAAGAGCACAUUUCAGCUGAAGAGAUUUCUCCUUGAGUUCUACUCCUGGGGAGGGAGCAUAAGCAAGCAAGCAAGAAAGAAAACCUUGACUCCUUUUCUGGGGGAAUCAGAUUACUUUCAGGAUGAUUAGACUAUUAAGUCCAGAACUAGAGACUCUUUUCUGAGAGGGGCUUCCCUAGGCUGUGGCUCUCACAUUCUUGAAUAAAUUUUUGUGGAACUGGAUUGGAUUCCCUGCCCAUUCCACCACUAAAUUCAGUAAAUAUUUGUUUAAUUGACAGAAUUCCUCAUUUUCCUACUCUUUACUCUUGAGUAAAUCACACUGUCCUUGAGCUCACUUCCUCAACUUGAACUGGCGUUGGUGAGUUGGGUACCCAGAGGAGCAACUGCUAUUUGGGUGGCUAUGCUCCCUGGA